GUCCCGAGUGUCCUCCGCUCUGGACGUGCUCGUGAGCUCAGGAGCUGGCAUCUAGGAAACGGGGAGUUCUUCACUCGCAGCGCAGUCGGCCGCGCCAGAAGAGGCGAGGGAGAAUCCGGACGGGGCGGGGCGGCGGGGGAGCGGGACAUUCGCGUCCCGGGGAGCCCCCAGGUCACCCCUGGAUUGCGAGGUGGCUCCGCCUGAGCAGCCCUUCCUGGUGUGGUCGGGGCAGCUGCCCGCCCGGAAAAUGGUCAGGCUCUAGCCCUGGGGAGGAAGAAGCCUUUGCCAAGAGCAACCGUCUACAAGCCCCAAAACCUGCGAGUGCCGGAAAUGUGGACUGACCACAGCCUGCCUCCCCGGCUUCAUUCACCACCAAGGCAGCCCCUCUGGUGACAAGCCUUACCGUUGUCCGGGUUAUGGCAGAAGCUUCCGAUGUGGCUCUGAUCUGGUUAAGCACCACUGGGUACACACCGGUGAAAAGCCGUACUCCUGCCCCGAGUGUGACCAUCGCUUCGGCCCUAUGCCUGUGCCUAGUGUGGUAAGACUUUCAGCGUCAGCUCCAACCUGAUCCAGCACCAGCGCGCUCACACCGCUAAAAGCCUUACCGCUGAGGGGACUGCGGCAAGAGUCUCAGCCUUGGCUCCACCCUGUUGCAGCACCUGCGCUCCACAUGGGUGAGAAGGCCUCUAAGUGCCUUGUUUGUAGUAAGAGUUUUGUGCACAGUUGGAAUCUGCUGCGGCACCAGCACAGUCACAAAGUCCGGAAACCUGAUGCUUGGUGGUGAGUGUGGCCAGACCUUCGGCCACAGCUCCCACCUGCCCAUCCACUAGGCGGCCCACAGCAGCACCCCUGCGUCUGCCUGCAGUGUGGCAGGGCCCUAGCGCAAAGCUCCAACCUGGGCCAGCACCAGCGGACGCACUAGGGCGGCAGCCUCUGCAAAUAGCCCUGGCUUCAAUUUUAGCUGAAACUUCAGCUCUGACUUUGGUUCGGACUUCAAGGAAAUGGAAGGAACCAGGAUCUCUAAGCAGACCCCCUUCUGCUCCCUUAGGGCUGUUGAUUUUAGAGCUAAUGAUGGGAUUCGGUUGGGGCGAGGGGGUCUCCACAUCUUUUUGCCCAACCCUUUGCUAAGUCAAGGAACCCCAGUCUGGGCUGGGCAUGGUGGCUCAUGCCUGUAAUCCCAGCACUUUGGGAGGCCAAGGUUAGCGGAUCACUGGAGGCCAGGAGUUCGAGACCAGCCUGGCCAACAUAUUGAAACCCUGUCUCUACUAAAAAAAAAAUGCUAGGCGUGUUGGCUCUCGCCUGUAAUCCCAGCUACUCGGGAGGCUGAGGCAGGAGACUCACUUGAACCCCGGGAGGCGGAGGCUGCAGUGAGCGAAGAUCGUGCCACUGCACUCCAGCCUGGGCGACAGAGAGUGUCUCAAAAAAAUAACAAAUUUAAAAAUUGUUUUUAACAAAGGAGCCCCAGUCUGGAAGAAUCAGAACACUAGAUCUGUGAUCACUGCCUUCAAAGAGCCCAGUCAGCUGAGAGGGCUUAGGUUUGUUCUUUGAAGUUACAAAGACAGAACGUCGACCAGCUGAAGGGAGAGUUUUGGAAUGGCGGGAGCUAUCCAGCGUGGACCCAGCUGCCUGCAGAUCUGGCAGUAGCUGACACAGUCCCUUCACAGGCCUAGGGAGUGAUGGGGUUAAUCACACCUAGAACAACAGCUACCUCUUCCCAGAGGAAUGGGACCAGAAAUCAGGCAAGCCCCUGUGAGGAGUUCCAUGGCAGCGCGCAGGCGGGGCAUUCCUAACCUCCAGAGGGAACCAUGAGGGAUCCUGUGUUCUGGCAGAUGGGCCAGAGAAUUUGAACUUGGGACCAUUGUGUGAGCCCUGGGUGUGUGAGCCCUUCAAAAGUCCUCUCAGCACGUGAGAACUAUCAUUAUGGAUGAUGCUAGGGUGGUGGGGGCCCCAGAACAGACCUGUAUGUUGAGUUCAGGGGUUGCUUUGUUGCAUUUCUGGGCAGGGGCAAGAGGCCCAGGGUUUGUCAUCUGCCCCUUCCCCUGCCUUAUCCCCUUCCCUUCCAAGUUCCCCAGGCUCCUUUUCUGCCAGUCUGUCAAGAGAGGGAAGAGUGGCGAAGAGUCCUUUGUGCCUGGACAUUGGGGACUGAACAUGGCCCUUUUGCCUGGGCAUUGCCCAAACA
rnacentral:lncRNA from 1 species